rnacentral:lncRNA from 1 species
GGCUGCCCAGAAAUCUGAGAGAAAAUAAGACAUGUAAAGUCCUGCUCACCCAUGAAAGUUUCUAAAUACAGGAGCUCUGAUUCUAAAAUCAUCUCCAUUUAUAUUGGUUUAUCUUUUUAAGACACUUUGUUGUUUCAGAGCUACCUUGCCAUGAAGAUUCAUUACCUUUUCUUUGCUCUUUUCUUCCUUGGCCAGCUGUCUACCUCAGUUUAUCUUCUUCAGCAAGUUCUUCUUUCAGUUCUGUAAUCCCAACAAUUUGGGAGGCCAAGGAACUGAAGAUGCUUAUGAAGUCAUUAGUAUCAUGGACUGUAAAAAUCAAACACUGUGUAAUUCUCAGAAUACAACUAGACACUGCUCUCAUGGGAAGGAGAUUGAACUAUGUGUCUUGCGUCUUGGAAAAAAUGCAAAGCGACUCACUAACCAUGAAGAAACAGCAAAUUAGGAAGACAGGAUGAUCAAUUUCCUUGUCUUAUUAAAAAAUAAAGUCUGCUUUCUUUUCUCUCUC